ACUGGACCCACACUCUCUUAACCUGCCCUCCCUGCACUCGCUCCCGGCGGCUCUUCGCGUCACCCCCGCCGCUAAGGCUCCAGGUGCCGCUACCGCAGCCCCUCCAUCCUCUACAGCUCAGCAUCAGAACACUCUCUUUUUAGACUCCGAUAUGGGGUCCUCCAAGAAAGUUACUCUCUCAGUGCUCAGCCGGGAGCAGUCGGAAGGGGUUGGAGCGAGGGUCCGGAGAAGCAUUGGCAGACCCGAGUUAAAAAAUCUGGAUCCGUUUUUACUGUUUGAUGAAUUUAAAGGAGGUAGACCAGGAGGAUUUCCUGAUCAUCCACAUCGAGGUUUUGAAACAUUCCCUUCUCUGCUAACACGUUGAAGGCGCUGUGGCUUGCUUUGCAGCAAUAAUGGAAGCCAUUCCUUUCACCUACCCUACACUCAUACUGGAUUCUGACCCUGUUCCUGGAAGAUGUCUCCACUCUGUGCUCCUGCUCGAGCUACUUCUUGUGUGCUCCAUCCCAUAGCUCCA
rnacentral:lncRNA from 1 species